ACGCUGGCGGCGCGCCUAACACAUGCAAGUCGAACGAGAGAUGAGGAGCUUGCUCUUCAAAUCGAGUGGCGAACGGGUGAGUAACGCGUGAGGAACCUGCCUCAAAGAGGGGGACAACAGUUGGAAACGACUGCUAAUACCGCAUAAGCCCACGGCUCGGCAUCGAGCAGAGGGAAAAGGAGCAAUCCGCUUUGAGAUGGCCUCGCGUCCGAUUAGCUAGUUGGUGAGGUAACGGCCCACCAAGGCAACGAUCGGUAGCCGGACUGAGAGGUUGAACGGCCACAUUGGGACUGAGACACGGCCCAGACUCCUACGGGAGGCAGCAGUGGGAAUAUUGCACAAUGGGGGAAACCCUGAUGCAGCGACGCCGCGUGGAGGAAGAAGGUCUUCGGAUUGUAAACUCCUGUUGUUGAGGAAGAUAAUGACGGUACUCAACAAGGAAGUGACGGCUAACUACGUG
rnacentral:rRNA from 1 species